AGGUACACUGAAGUUGGAGCACAACUGAACGAAUGUUGGAUUUCACCUGGCUGGACACGAGAACAAGUUACAAACUGUGUGAUUCCAUUUAUUUGACAUUCUUGAAAAGACAAAAGCAUAGCAACAGACAACAAAUCAUUGGUUGCCAGGGGCAGAAGAAGGAUGUGACUACAAAGGAGUCGCUCAAGGAGAUUUGGGGGGAGAAGGGAGGGACAAUUCUGUAUCC